GGGGAUGUGGUCUAGUGGUAUGAUGUCUGCUUCGCAUGCGGAAGGUUCCGGGUUCGAUUCCCGGCAUCUCCA